CAUACCUAUUCGAAGGGAUAGGGUCGGUUCGGCCGGAUUUUACACAAGUGUUGCAUGGCUGUCGUCAGCUCGUGUCGUGAGAUGUUGGGUUAAGUCCCGCAACGAGCGCAACCCUCAUCCUUAGUUGCUAUCAGGUAAUGCUGAGUACUUUAAGGAAACUGCCAGUGAUAAGCUGGAGGAAGGUGGGGAUGAUGUCAAGUCAUCAUGGCCUUUAUGGAGUGGGCUACACACGUGCUACAAUGGUGUCUACAAUGGGCUGCAAGGUGCGCAAGCCUAAGCUAAUCCCUAAAAGACAUCUCAGUUCGGAUUGUACUCUGCAACUCGAGUACAUGAAGUUGGAAUCGCUAGUAAUCGUGGAUCAGCAUGCCACGGUGAAUACGUUCUCGGGUCUUGUACACACUGCCCGUCACGCCAUGGGAAUUGGUUUCACUCGAAGCU
rnacentral:rRNA from 9 species